rnacentral:rRNA from 1 species
UAUGGUUGUGUGCCAGCAGCCGCGGUAAUACGUAGGGGGCGAGCGUUAUCCGGAUUCAUUGGGCGUAAAGCGCGCGUAGGCGGCCCGGCAGGCCGGGGGUCGAAGCGGGGGGCUCAACCCCCCGAAGCCCCCGGAACCUCCGCGGCUUGGGUCCGGUAGGGGAGGGUGGAACACCCGGUGUAGCGGUGGAAUGCGCAGAUAUCGGGUGGAACACCGGUGGCGAAGGCGGCCCUCUGGGCCGAGACCGACGCUGAGGCGCGAAAGCUGGGGGAGCGAACAGG